UGAAGCUACUAUCAGAGUGUGAUUGCUUUCUGCUCCCCAAUCCUGGAAAGAAAAUCAGAAAAAGUACCACCGGUCACUGGAAUGACAUGAGUGUGGAUUUCAGGAAUUCCCUUGAUGAUUACGCCUCUUCUGUCCUGCGAUCUUUACCAACCAGUGCACGAACAGCUAGCAGGGGUUCAGUGGUGUCUGGCUUCCAGUUUUUUGAAAGAAUUAAGUUGUUCACAAAAACAAUUGAGAGAUACUCAAAGUACAUCACAACACCACUCGAGAUGAUGAAUGCCAUUCAGGGAUUGAAGCUGCGGGAGA